CCGUAUUCUUGCGAAAGCAAAGUAUUACGAUAAAAGAAACGAAACGAUACGACUGUCARAGUACCGCUCGAGGCGCGCGGGUAACGGCUGUAUGGCCUCUGCGCGCCGAUGGUUUUAUGUCGUAAAAAUCCACUACGUUCCCGAGUUUGUGAUUGCGCCUCGGAGAGGGACGGCCCCCGACAGGGAGAGAGAGAUGCGUAGGUAGGGCCACCGACACGGUCAGAGACGGUUCGAUUCCACUCGUGUCACCAGGUCCUUGCGCGCUCCUCUCUCUACUCGGCGCGGACGUCUUCUCGCCGAUUGGCUUGCCUGAUCGAACGACGGAGCAGAUGACCGGGAGAUGGCCCAAAACAGGGAGGCCAGAUGAAGUGUCGGUAUCGGACGCUAAACACCCUACAGAAGUGCGUACGCCUCGCUCGACCAGUGCUUUGAUUUCAGAGUGCGGGCGUUGCCUUCUUUGCCGGUGAGCUGAUAGUAAUGCGGCGGAGAGGCGAGAGCCUCUCCAUAGCCGCGCCGACGCGACCCGGUGGUCACAACAUACCGUCUAACCCAUGCCUCCACUCCGGUGGUGUAAAAGGCGACUUGAUGGUUUGGGAGUUUAAAACCGCGCUAACAGCGUACAGAGAUAGAGAAAAGUCACACAGAGGAAAUGAGGCGCGCACGUUGUUGUGCGUCUCAUCGACUUUUUUUUUUUUUUCGCUGGUGGACUCCAAUUUUCUUCGGAAGUAUUCCUCUUGACUGCUUGUCGCCGUACACGAGAGCUCGCUCACGCGACGCGCUCCGCCGGCUCAAAAUGUUUAAAAAAA
rnacentral:misc_RNA from 1 species